GCAGAAGAAGCACCGGCUAACUCCGUGCCAGCAGCCGCGGUAAUACGGAGGGUGCAAGCGUUAAUCGGAAUUACUGGGCGUAAAGCGCACGCAGGCGGUUUGUUAAGUCAGAUGUGAAAUCCCCGGGCUCAACCUGGGAACUGCAUCUGAUACUGGCAAGCUUGAGUCUCGUAGAGGGGGGUAGAAUUCCAGGUGUAGCGGUGAAAUGCGUAGAGAUCUGGAGGAAUACCGGUGGCGAAGGCGGCCCCCUGGACGAAGACUGACGCUCAGGUGCGAAAGCGUGGGGAGCAAACAGGAUU
rnacentral:rRNA from 1 species